AUUGAACGCUGGCGGCAGGCUUAACACAUGCAAGUCGAGCGGGGUGAUGGUGCUUGCACUAUCACUUAGCGGCGGACGGGUGAGUAAUGCUUAGGAAUCUGCCUAUUAGUGGGGGACAACAUCUCGAAAGGGAUGCUAAUACCGCAUACGUCCUACGGGAGAAAGCAGGGGAUCACUUGUGACCUUGCGCUAAUAGAUGAGCCUAAGUCGGAUUAGCUAGUUGGUGGGGUAAAGGCCUACCAAGGCGACGAUCUGUAGCGGGUCUGAGAGGAUGAGCCGCCACACUGGGAAUGGGACACGGCCCAGACUCCUACGGGAGGCAGCAGUGGGGAAUAUUGGACAAUGGGGGGAACCCUGAUCCAGCCAUGCCGCGUGUGUGAAGAAGGCCUUAUGGUUGUAAAGCACUUUAAGCGAGGAGGAGGCUCUUUUGGUUAAUACCCAAGAUGAGUGGACGUUACUCGCAGAAUAAGCACCGGCUAACUCUGUGCCAGCAGCCGCCGUAA
rnacentral:rRNA from 1 species